rnacentral:rRNA from 1 species
CUCAGACCCCGUGGAAUUGAAUGCGCCCAAUCUCGUCUGAUCUCGGAAGCUAAGCAGGGUUGGUUAGUACUUGGAUGGGAGGCCCUAUGAAAUAUCCACAGCUUUGAAU